CGAUGUUGAAUCAUCACGUCCUUAAGCUGUACAAGGUUUAAAGGGUUAGGGUGUUCACCUAUUAAAGUGGUACGUGAUUUGAGUUUACUACGUUGUGAGACAGUAGAGUUUCUAUCUUCUAACACACUUUUAUAACUACUAAGAGAUAAUAGUACGAAAGGACCCUUAUCUCCAAACCUCUGGUUUAGUUAUUGUGAAUAGCAUUGUAACAAAGCUAAGUUUGUC
rnacentral:rRNA from 12 species